UGUAGAUAACAUAAACAAAUUCAACAGUCUUAUAAAGUGUUUUGUGGACACUCUAUCGAAAUGUUAAGUAUAUUAUUAUUUUUAUUCAGUCCUGUGUGUGCGCAAGAGUUGUUUCCUGUGAAUAUUUUGCAUUACAAUGAUUUUCAUGCAAGAUUCGUAGAAACCAGUCCAUCUGGCACGAUAUGCAACCCAGACGUAGCUCCCUGUAUAGGCGGGUUCGCCCGUCUUACAACCCUGGUGAGGCAGAGACUGGCAGCUGAGCCUGACUCCUUACUCCUCAACGGCGGAGACAGCUUCCAAGGCACCAUAUGGUAUAACAUCCUACGAUGGAACGUCACUCAGGAGUUCAUGAAUUUAAUUCCACAUACUGCUCAUGUAUUAGGAAACCAUGAGUUCGACAACGGAAUCGAAGGCGUUGUGCCGUACCUAGAGCAUCUCAACUCGCCAGUCGUGACUGCUAACAUCAUCGAUGACGAUGAACCCACCAUCCAGGGUCUGUACGAACCCAGCAUCAUUGUGGAGAGGAACGGACGAAAAAUCGGCAUCAUUGGAGUCAUCAUCUCAUCUACCGAUAAUCUGGCUUCUACGGGAAGGUUAAGAUUUACUGAUGAAGUGGAAACCGUGAGAGCAGAAGCACAGAAACUCCACGACCAAGGAGUUAGAAUAAUCAUAGUGUUAUCACAUUCUGGGAUAGAUAUAGACAGUGAAAUAGCUCUGCACGGAGGCCCUCACAUAGACAUAAUCGUUGGAGGCCACAGCCACACGCUGUUAUUCAAUGGUGAACCUCCGGAAAACAGUGGUUUCUCGCCACGAGGACCUUACCCGGUUGUGAUAGAACAAAAUGGAAGACCGGUACUAAUUGUUCAAGCCGCUGCUCACACGCAGUAUCUGGGUGAAAUCAAACUAUUCUUUGACGAUGAAGGUAAUCUCCUCCGUUGGGAUGGACAUCCACAUUUCAUAGGAAACGAAAUUGAGCAAGCUCCUGAUAUUCUGGAAAGAAUAAACGUUUACCUACCAAUCAUCGAAGAGCAAGCAAAGGUUGAAAUAGGCACUUCGUUGGUGCACAUGUCGUCGAGGUGCGCCUGCGCCGAAUGCAAUCUUGGUAGUUUUAUUUGCGAUGCCUUUCUACACUCGGUUUUGGACCGAGCUCAAGGAGACAAUUGGCAUUACGCGCAUUUCUGUGUGGUUAAUCAAGGUGGCAUCAGAACAGACAUUAAUAACGGCAUAAUAACAUUUGAAUCUGUAAUACUAUCAACACCGUUUGAAAAUAACGUCGAAGUUUUCGAUCUGAGAGGCGAUCACAUAAUGGAAAUGCUAGAAUUUUCUGUAGCAAACGUUCCAUACGCAGGUGCGAGGAUGCUACAAGUUUCAGGGUUGCGUUCGACGUUCGACGGCUCUCUGCCCGUCAACAGAAGGGUUGUCAACGCGACGGUCCGCUGUAUCGAAUGCGACAUCCCUAAAUACCAACCGUUGGAUGUCGACAAGUACUAUCGAGUUGUGUCGCAAAGUUUCAUUGGAGGAGGUGGCGACGGAUUUUCUGUAUUCGCACAGUCUUCGACGGCUCUCGCCCAGUUGGCUGUCGGGUAGUCAACGUUACUGUCCGAUGUAUAGAGUGUAGUGUACCUAGAUACGAACCUUUAGACAUUGCCAAAUUCUAUAAAGUAAUCACUACAGACUUCAUAGGUAAUGGCGGCGGCGAAUUUAAUAUGAUAUCAGAAAACAGGAGGAACGUGGAAGUAAUAGGAGUGGACUACGAUAUCCUGAUGCAGUACAUACGUCGCCAGUCUCCAGUAUUCGUCGAUGUCGACGGCCGAGCACAUAUCGACAACCCUUGCAUUGUUUAAUACAAUUAAAUUAUUUAUUUAUGUGU